UACGUAGGGGGCAAGCGUUGUCCGGAAUCAUUGGGCGUAAAGAGCGCGUAGGCGGCCCAGUAAGUCCGCUCUGAAAGUCAGAGGCUCAACCUCUGAAUGCGGGUGGAUACUGCUGGGCUAGAGUCCGGAAGAGGCGAGUGGAAUUCCAGGUGUAGCGGUGAAAUGCGUAGAUAUCUGGAGGAAUACCGGUGGCGAAGGCGGCAUCCUGGACCGGCAUUGACGCUGAGGAGCGAAAGCUAGGGGAGCAAACGGG
rnacentral:rRNA from 1 species